GACGGAAGGUGCAAGCGUUGCUCGGAAUCACUGGGCGUAAAGGGUGCGUAGGCGGCCGUGCAAGUCUGGCGUGAAAGCCCCGGGCUCAGCCCGGGAAGUGCGCUCGAAACUGCGCGGCUCGAGUGCCGGAGGGGAGAGUGGAAUUCCUGGUGUAGCGGUGAAAUGCGUAGAUAUCAGGAGGAACACCGGUGGCGAAGGCGGGUCUCUGGGCCGAUACUGACGCUGAGGAGCGAAAGCGUGGGGAGCGAACAGG
rnacentral:rRNA from 1 species